UGCGCAACGUCGUGGGGAAUGGACCUCUAAGAAGUAACAAAUUAAUAAAAACAUCACAUGAAAAGAGAAGCUCUAGCCGUGCGAAAUGUCUGGAAAGAUCAACAUCGAACUCUAAGGAACAACUAGCCUCCAAUUCAACGUCGCUGCUCGGUAGGGAAUAUAUGAAAUCGCACGAGUUCUCAUGAAAUCGGAUAACAGUGUCGAGAUUACUUCGUAGUGUAUCCAAUCUAAAAAUGCAAUCAAUGUCCGACAUCCCGCAAACAAUAUUUUUUGCUAACAUUACUUUAUAUACGCUUAAAUGGCCUUAACUGCAAUGUUUUGACGGCGAGGCGAAU